AUUGAUUUAAGUUAAUUUUGAAAUAUAAGCAAAUUCAUGAAUGUAUCGAUCCUCAUUUUUUUUUUGUUAUCAUUUUGCGAGUAUCAAAAUUUAGAAUUUCUUUUUGCAUAUACACAACAUGUAAAAAAAAUAUCUUAUUUCAACCCAUGUAUAAAAUUGUCUAUGGCCAUAUGUCUCGACUCCCUCAAAAAUAAAUUGGGCAAACAGUGUAUCUCCGGCAAUAAAAUUGGGCGCUCAGGCCAAAAGUAACACAAUUGGUGUUUUUAAAUAAUUCGAGGUAUUGAUUGAAAGUAUGAAAUGAUUUUCGCCACAUACUUGGGGGGACAGUUUUGUUAAUUGCCGAAACCAAAAUGAUGGUAACUAAUGCUCUUAUGUGUAUCGUACCACUCUUUAUGAGAAUGAAUACUGGCGCGACUCUGAAUUCUGCUGUUAUUCGGCCUGUGAAAGAAGAGAGAUUGGCUCGAUAAUUAAUGGGUAUUCCGAUGUAAAUGGUGGUGCAGGUGCCGAAUUUAUUAGUAUUCCCAAUUCUUAUAUAGGAAGGUGGAGGAGAGGGUUUGCCGGGAAAAAGUGAAGAAGAUUCUGACGAGAAGAAGCUUCGAAUGGUGCCGUUUCAUGUAAAAAGCUAGGUGCAUUCUGAUUCGGUCUUUUUGUGGGCUGUGAGUUCGAGCUAUCCUUCAUUCUUCCCCCUUCCUUUUCGCAUGUUGUUUUAUGGAUUUGUUUGUUAAUACGUUUCACUUGCUAUACAGAAAUGUUUUUAUAAUUUAAAGGUAAAGUUAUCUACUGUUUCAACUUUGAUUUACUUUAUCAAAAAUAAAUAUUGCACCUUUGAUGGAAAACUUCAAGGAGGAUCUACGACUAUCAAUUUAAGCUGCUGUGUUCCAUAGAAUUGUUGAUUUCCUUCUACUCCAUGUCUUCAUAUUUGAUUAAGUUGAUGCUCCAAUAUCCUUCAGAUUCAUUCAGAGUUCUAGUUUUAUAGAGAGUAUACUACUUUCAAAGAUAUUCCCUCCUUUGUAUUUGACUCGACAAAUAUAGUUGAAUAGUGAACAAUUAAGGUAGUUUACUUUUAUCAUUCUCUAACGCAAUAUGGGGGUCAUUUAAGUAAAAUUUUCUAUAAUUGAUUGGAUAAUGUUCAAGUGGAGCUUUUUU
rnacentral:lncRNA from 1 species